CUCAAACGACCUCAGAUCAACUCCAAAUCUGAGAGGGACUUGUACCAACCUCUUCUCAAGAGAUUUCAGGUCUUGGACCUGGUGUUUGGAUGACUGCAAGGGAGGGGAGAGAAGAAAUGGCUGGUGGCUCCAAGGAGGAAGAGGCUAGCGCCUCCCUUCCUUUCUUUCCUUUUAUGGACUAGCAGCAAGAAACCCUAGGGUUUCUUGCUCCUGGGGCAUGGAAGAUGGUUGGAG
rnacentral:lncRNA from 1 species